GACGAACGCUGGCGGCGUGCUUAACACAUGCAAGUCGAACGAUGAAGCCGGAGCUUGCUCUGGUGAAUUAGUGGCGAACGGGUGAGUAACACGUGAGUAACCUGCCCUUGACUCUGGGAUAACUGCUCGAAAUGGUAGCUAAUACCGGAUACGACCCUCGGAGGCAUCUCCAGGGGGUGGAAAGAAUUUCGGUCAAGGAUGGACUCGCGGUCUAUCGGCUAGGUGGCGAGGUAGGGGCUCACCAAGGCGACGACGGGUAGCCGGACUGAGAGGGUGACCGGCCACACUGGGACUGAGACACGGCCCAGACUCCUACGGGAGGCAGCAGUGGGGAAUAUUGCACAAUGGGCGCAAGCCUGAUGCAGCAACGCCGCGUGAGGGAUGACGGCCUUCGGGUUGUAAACCUCUUUUAGUAGGGAAGAAGCGAAAGUGACGGUACCUCCAGAAAAAGCACCGGCUAACUACGUGCCAGCCGCCGCAGUAA
rnacentral:rRNA from 1 species